GUGGACCAUGGCCUAGUGGUUAGCGCAUUGGACUACUAUGCGGCAGGUGGCGGGUUCGAUUCCGCCGCCACU